UUAGCAAAUGAUUUGCUUUAUCCGAAAAUGCUAGGUGGUGGCGGCGGCGUUGUGUUCAGUGGCUAAGUGCCUUUUGGUUCGUUGGUCAUUGAAAUUUUUUCACCUGAUGAAAGUUCAACGAACAUCGAGUUGUGGUACCUGAUGUAGAUGCGGAGUGGAGAAAAGACCUGAGUAGGACUAGUGAUUUUCACCUUGCAGCCCAUCCUAUUCGAAAGUGUCUAUGCCUCGGACAUGACAACUUGAUAAUUCAGAAUUUUUAUAGUGAACAAACUUAAACAAUGAUGCAUCAAUGCCAAUUGUAUUGAUUGCUUUUAUGUUGGAACACGAAAAA